GGGGGAUUAGCUCAGUUUGGUAGAGCGCUUGCAUGGCAUGCAAGAGGUCAGCGGUUCGAACCCGCUAUCCUCCA
rnacentral:tRNA from 2 species